GUAUCAUCUGUAUUCCAUCUGCAGUUACAAUCGUGCGACGCGUACUCGAGGAAACUUAGUCGAUAACCUAGCAUGCCGUUCAAAAAUAAAUAUGGUGUCUAAUUGUAAGCAGCGUAUCGUUCGAAGUCGAGUUUUUCUUGUCCAGCAAAACUCUGUCAAGGAGAUAUAGAACUUGACGGCGAUUCGAACGCGGGAAUACUGGCGGUAGCGCGUUGCAAACGACGAGAACGGAAACGUGACGGACGGUUGGAGAGGCAGAUUGUUAGCUGGUGCACGAGUUUGUUUGCGUAGUUGAGGACCGUAUGUGCUGGUGCUGGCGCAUGCAGGGCGGAGAACGGGCUACGCCGGGGGUGUUCUGCAUGGGCGCCAAAGGGACUCCACAUCGGACUGGCACCGGGGGAAGACGGCGAAGAAGAAAGAGGGAGAAAAAGAGAAAUCAGAAAGAAGGAACGCGUCGCCAGCAGCGGCGCCGAGACCAAACUGCCUUCGCAAAACAUAGCCCCGAUAGUUGCAGAGGGCCGAUUUCUUCGUGAUGAUGGGAGACGAUCGACCAACGGCAAUCGGGACGAAUCUUUCGCCGACCCUCGAAUCACGUCGGCUCGGCAACGUCCCAUUAUUAGGCUGGCUCUCAGUUACGAAACAAUCCGCGCGUUCGAUUUCUGUUACGCGCCGCAAGAUCGUGAUCUAAUUACACCAAAAGAUUGCAACGUCAGUUAUUGAAUUGAUGCCUGGUUUGUUAUGACGAUGGGUCCCGGAAC